GGUGUAACUCUGCCUGUGUUUGCAUGCCACCUCCAGAACGACUAAAAUGUUAUUUCUCAGUGGGUGAUUAAGACUGGCAGCAAUUGCAAAAACAGAUUCAUGCCAUGUGUCACUCUUCACAGUCAGGAACUUAUUUACCUCUUGGAACUUUCCAAAGGAACGAUGAUGGUGGUGGGCCAUGCUGGAUAAGGAACUGGCUGCCUCUGUGAACAUCCUACUCAAGGCAUCUUCACUGCUGUACAUCCUUUUGAAAUCCCAGAGGUCUUCAGUCUCCCUGUGGAUUAAGGAGAUGUGCAGUAUUUAAAGUAGCUUCAGGAAGGCAUGGAAGAGGACUGAGUGCGGAAAGCUUUUUGUGCAUGCUGCUGGCCACCUCCAGCGGCUGCCUCCAGCCUCCAUCAGCUGCACUCUGGGGAAGAGGAGGCUGCCUUCUACCUCUCAGCAUCUCUGGAUUUCAUGUUCCUGUCAGCACAGAGGAGCUAAAUGGCCUUUAGAGGCUGAAGGUCUGAGGCUCCUAAAGCUGGAAGAAAAGGCUGGGCCAGUCAGGCCAAGCAAGAACACAGUGUAACUUGUCUCUGAGUGCUUCAUGGUUAAGGGGGAUAAGUGGGCACAAGGGCACAAGGAUGGUUAUAUGUAGAGACUGAGGGGAAGAAGCAGUGAGGAUGAGACUUGUCAUCUUCUUGAGUCAGUAGGCCUGCCUCAGGUGCCUAGGAUGUAA
rnacentral:sRNA from 1 species